UUUUACCCCUUUGGUCUUGUACAAACACUUGAGAAAUAUCUCAGGGUGAUAGAAUGAUAAAAUGAUCGCUGGAGCUCAAUCUUAGAAGGGGAACAAUAUAUCUCAUCAUCGCUGCAACUACACCAGAGAAAUCUUUUCUUUUUCUUUGUAAACCCUUUUCUCUCUACUAUCUUCAACUAACCCUAAUCCCCAAAACCCUUAAAUUCAAUUUUGAACAAUCCUAAAUUCAUCUCUCUCGUUUCACUUUACGAUUUGCAGUAGCAAGAAACGGACUCGAAGUUGGGUGGAGCCAAGUUCGGAUUGAUGAGGUAUUACAAUCACUGGGCAAACUAGUGAGGCUGUAUUCAGAAGUGCAUCUAUUGAGGUCGUUGAAGCACAAUAACAUUGUAAGGUUCUACAAUUCCUGGAUUGAUGACAAACACAAGAAUGUUAACAAGAUAGUUAUUCACCUCAGGGAGCCUCAAACAGUGUGUUCAUUAUCCUUUGUAUAUGUGUUUAAUUUGUUUUUCUGUUUUAUUGUGAUAUUAGUCCUUUUGUUAGUUGGUUUGAUGCAUGAUUUAGGUACUGUAAGAAACACAAGAAGGUCGACAUGAGAGUAUUUGUUAAAUAUCGGACUCAGGUGUGAUUUAUUUGAAGUAUUUGUUAAAUAUCGGACAAUAUCUUGUAUUUUAAUUUGAUUUUUUAGAGUGAUUUAAAGCCUUUCAGACUUGACGAAAAACUAUGAUAUCUUAGCAGUACAGGGUCAUCUGGUUCAGUAAACUAGUUUCUAUUUACCUUUUAAGAUGGAAGUUAAAUUAGUGGAAUAUUAUUACACUUGCACCUUUGAGAGUUAGAAUUACUUUUCCACUCUCCUAUAUUAAUCUACUUUUGAAAAGUGAACAUUGAAAUAAAGCUUUUUUAAUUGUGAAUUCUUAACUAAGCUAAUGAAUACAAUCAAGUAUUAUUUGCAAAUAAAAGUAACGGUAACAGCAACACAUACCUACUUCUUAUGUCUUUAUUUUGCUUCAAAUUAUUUAAAUAAACCAUUUCUUUGAACAACAUAAGUGUUUCAUUGUCGCAACAUGUGAUCGUGACUUGAAGAGGAGAAUCCGGAAGAUUCCUGGUGUGCCAAUAAUGUACAUCACUAAAAAGGUCAAGAGUGUAAUAGCUAUGGUUUGUAAUUUGUGGAGAUGAUAAGUUAAUAAAGCUGCUAUUCCACUACCUAUGGUGAAGUAUUUGCUUGGCCAAUAUUUGGUCUUCCUGUCUUCUACUGCUAAUGGGUCAAGUUUAAUGUGUCAAUUUGUUCAUUUUGCUCUUGCAAAGUUAUGAAGGAACUGGACGCUCGUUAUCACUAAAACUUGUGCAGCAACUACAAGACCAAAGCCGUAUAUCUGCUAAGAGCACAGAGGGCACCGAGUUUUGAUGCUUAUGGAAAUGACAACACCAAGUCUGGUUUUUGGGGUGUAUUGGCUCAUAAAGCCAAAUCAAUUCUGGAUGAUAAAAAUUCAGCUCCUCCUCCACAACAUGACACCAUGCCAUUGCCACAAACACUCAAAUCACACUCAUUUAAUACCUUUACUAGUCCGUUUUCAACUCAGCCAUUGUAUCAAUCUCCUGACUCUAAUAAAAAAAUGGACAAUCCUACAAUUAGAAAGGGAUUGGAUGCAAUCAAAUCUUCUCUCAAUCACUUAGGUGACACAUUUGAGAAGGCUUUUGAGG